rnacentral:rRNA from 1 species
AUUAGAGUUUGAUCCUGGCUCAGAUUGAACGCUGGCGGAAUGCUUUACACAUGCAAGUCGAACGGCAGCACGGGAGCUUGCUCCUGGUGGCGAGUGGCGAGCGGGUGAGUAAUGCGUCGGAACGUACCGAGUAAUGGGGGAUAACGCAGCGAAAGUUGUGCUAAUACCGCAUACGCCCUGAGGGGGAAAGUGGGGGAUCGCAAGACCUCACGUUAUUCGAGCGGCCGACGUCUGAUUAGCUAGUUGGUGGGGUAAAGGCCUACCAAGGCGACGAUCAGUAGCGGGUCUGAGAGGAUGAUCCGCCACACUGGGACUGAGACACGGCCCAGACUCCUACGGGAGGCAGCAGUGGGGAAUUUUGGACAAUGGGGGCAACCCUGAUCCAGCCAUUCCGCGUGAGUGAAGAAGGCCUUCGGGUUGUAAAGCUCUUUCAGCAGGAACGAAACGGUGCGCUCUAACAUAGCGUGCUAAUGACGGUACCUGCAGAAGAAGCACCGGCUAACUACGUGCCAGCAGCCGCGGUAAUACGUAGGGUGCGAGCGUUAAUCGGAAUUACUGGGCGUAAAGCGUGCGCAGGCGGAUUGUUAAGCAAGACGUGAAAUCCCCGGGCUUAACCUGGGAAUGGCGUUUUGAACUGGCAGUCUAGAGUGUGUCAGAGGGGGGUGGAAUUCCACGUGUAGCAGUGAAAUGCGUAGAGAUGUGGAGGAACACCAAUGGCGAAGGCAGCCCCCUGGGAUAACACUGACGCUCAUGUACGAAAGCGUGGGUAGCAAACAGGAUUAGAUACCCUGGUAGUCCACGCCCUAAACGAUGUCAACUGGUUGUUGGGGGAGUGAAAUCCCUUAGUAACGAAGCUAACGCGUGAAGUUGACCGCCUGGGGAGUACGGUCGCAAGAUUAAAACUCAAAGGAAUUGACGGGGACCCGCACAAGCGGUGGAUGAUGUGGAUUAAUUCGAUGCAACGCGAAAAACCUUACCUACCCUUGACAUGUCCGGAAUCCUGCAGAGAUGCGGGAGUGCCCGAAAGGGAAUCGAAACACAGGUGCUGCAUGGCUGUCGUCAGCUCGUGUCGUGAGAUGUUGGGUUAAGUCCCGCAACGAGCGCAACCCUUAUCAUUAGUUGCUACGCAAGGGCACUCUAAUGAGACUGCCGGUGACAAACCGGAGGAAGGUGGGGAUGACGUCAAGUCCUCAUGGCCUCUAUGUCCAGGGCUACACACGUGCUACAAUGGGCGGUACAAAGGGCUGCGAUACCGCAAGGUGGAGCCAAUCCCAAAAAGCCGUCCUCAGUUCGGAUUGCAGUCUGCAACUCGACUGCAUGAAGGUGGAAUCGCUAGUAAUCGCGGAUCAGCAUGUCGCGGUGAAUACGUUCCCGGGUCUUGUACACACCGCCCGUCACACCAUGGGAGUGGAAUCUGCCAGAAGUAGGUAGCCUAACCGCAAGGAGGGCGCUACCACGGUGUUCAC